rnacentral:rRNA from 1 species
UGCCAGACUCCUACGGGAGGCAGCAGUGGGGGAUAUUGCACAAUGGGGGAAACCCUGAUGCAGCGACGCCGCGUGUGGGAAGACGGUCUUCUGGAUUGGAAACCACUGUCCCCAGGGACGAAAAUGACGGUACCUGACUAAGAAGCCCCGGCUAACUACGUGCCAGCAGCCGCGGUAAUACGUAGGGGGCAAGCGUUAUCCGGAUUUACUGGGUGUAAAGGGAGCGUAGACGGCCAGACAAGUCAGAAGUGAAAGCCCAGGGCUCAACCCUGGGACUGCUUUUGAAACUGCCGGGCUGGAGUGCAGGAGAGGUAAGCGGAAUUCCUAGUGUAGCGGUGAAAUGCGUAGAUAUUAGGAGGAACACCAGUGGCGAAGGCGGCUUACUGGACUGUAACUGACGUUGAGGCUCGAAAGCGUGGGGAGCAAACAGGAUUAGAUACCCUUGUAA